rnacentral:rRNA from 1 species
UAUGUAGGGGGCAAGCGUUGUCCGGAAUUAUUGGGCGUAAAGAGCGCGUAGGCGGUCCGGUAAGUCGGUUGUGAAAGUCGGGGGCUCAACCCUCGGAUGCCGAUCGAUACUGUCGGGCUAGAGUCCGGAAGAGGCGAGUGGAAUUCCUGGUGUAGCGGUGAAAUGCGCAGAUAUCAGGAGGAACACCAAUGGCGAAGGCAGCUCGCUGGGACGGUACUGACGCUGAGGCGCGAAAGCGUGGGGAGCAAACAGG